UGGAGAAGAAGAAGAAAAAAACGAGAAAAAC
rnacentral:sRNA from 1 species